rnacentral:rRNA from 1 species
UGAGGAACAUGACCUUCGGCGGGGGAGUAGCCGGCCCAACGGCCGGGUAAUACCGCGUACGACCACUUUGGGACAUCCCUAGGUGGUGAAAGCAGCAAUGCGCCGAUGGAGUGCCUCGCGGCCUAUCAGCUAGUUGGUGGGGUAACGGCCUACCAAGGCAACGACGGGUAGCCGGCCUGAGAGGGCGACCGGCCACACUGGGACUGAGACACGGCCCAGACUCCUACGGGAGGCAG